GGUUUCCGUAGGUGAACCUGCGGAAGGAUCAUUACCGAGAGAGGGGCUCGCGCCCCGGGGGUUCCGGCCCCGCCUCUUCACCCUGUGCGUACCUACCUUUGUUGCUUCGGCGGGCCUCGGGUCCCCCCGACGCCGGCCUGGGGGUAACCCCGGGCUCGCGCGCGCCCGCCGGAGGUCAUUGCAAACUCUGUUAUCCGUGUAGUCUGAGUGUCAAUAAUACAAUAACUAAAACUUUCAACAACGGAUCUCUUGGUUCUGGCAUCGAUGAAGAACGCAGCGAAAUGCGAUAAGUAAUGUGAAUUGCAUAAUUCAGUGAAUCAUCGAAUCUUUGAACGCACAUUGCGCCCCCUGGUAUUCCGGGGGGCAUGCCUGUUCGAGCGUCAUUGCAACCCUCAAGCGCUGCUUGGUAUUGGGCCUUCGUCCCCCGGACGUGCCCGAAAGUUAGUGGCGGUCCAGCCGGGACUUCAAGCGUAGUAAAUAUCAUCCCGCUCAGGAAGAGCCCCGCUGCGGCCAGCCAGCCAACCCCCAGAUAUCUUCAAUGGUUGACCUCGGAUCAGGUAGG
rnacentral:rRNA from 1 species